CUCAAGCUUCCUCAUUUGCUUAAAAACGAGAAAUGACGUUGAACAUGUACUUAUUUACACCAAUCCAUAGUGUGACAGCCAAAUUGUUUUCUUUUAGUCUACAGAACAUGAGCAUCCAGGAUGCUGAAAUUCAGAACAUGGAUGAGCAGGAGAUAAAUGACCUGAAGAAUAGUGUGUAAGUGCACCUCAGUUUGGCUGUAUAGUGUGCAACAAGAUGUGCUGAUGUGUAUUAUAGUUAUUAUAAAACAUUUUUUUCUAUCAAAUUUGACAGAAUUGAUUGGGAUGAUGGUGGAGGUGUCAAUAAUGAUGAAGACAUUGAAGCAGAUGACAGUCAGUAUGAGGACUAUGUCCCUCAUAUUAGUAUUCGGAUGGGUGGAGCAUUGCAGGCACCACCAUGCCUAGACAGUCUGCCUUUGAUAGAUGCAAGUGAGUCAAUACAUGACAUCCCGGAUUUAGAGCCUCCAUCAGUCGACCUACCUCCACCUCAUCAACCUAAUUUCCGUGAUACACUGGAUGUCAUGACUGAAGAUGACCUAAUUGUGCCCAUACAGAUGUGGUGUCAGCCAAGUGGAGUGUCAGUACCGUCCUCCCUUUGAAGUUACCAUUACUCGCAGGGGUACUGCGAGCAUCAUGGAAUGGACCUGUCCUGUUGGCUAUGCUGUGUGGAGAUGGAGCUCACAGCCUACUGUGAAAUACGGGA